rnacentral:rRNA from 1 species
UCUGGGACAAGCCCUGGAAACGGGGUCUAAUACCGGAUAAUACUGUUCCCCUCAUGGGGGGUGGUUGAAAGCUCCGGCGGUGCAGGAUGAGCCCGCGGCCUAUCAGCUUGUUGGUGGGGUAAUGGCCUACCAAGGCGACGACGGGUAGCCGGCCUGAGAGGGCGACCGGCCACACUGGGACUGAGACACGGCCCAGACUCCUACGGGAGGCAGCAGUGGGGAAUAUUGCACAAUGGGCGGAAGCCUGAUGCAGCGACGCCGCGUGAGGGAUGACGGCCUUCGGGUUGUAAACCUCUUUCAGCAGGGAAGAAGCGAAAGUGACGGUACCUGCAGAAGAAGCGCCGGCUAACUACGUGCCAGCAGCCGCGGUAAUACGUAGGGCGCAAGCGUUGUCCGGAAUUAUUGGGCGUAAAGAGCUCGUAGGCGGUCUGUCACGUCGGGUGUGAAAGCCCGGGGCUUAACCCCGGGUCUGCAUUCGAUACGGGCAGACUAGAGUGUGGUAGGGGAGAUCGGAAUUCCUGGUGUAGCGGUGAAAUGCGCAGAUAUCAGGAGGAACACCGGUGGCGAAGGCGGAUCUCUGGGCCAUUACUGACGCUGAGGAGCGAAAGCGUGGGGAGCGAACAGGAUUAGAUACCCUGGUAGUCCACGCCGUAAACGUUGGGAACUAGGUGUUGGCGACAUUCCACGUCGUCGGUGCCGCAGCUAACGCAUUAAGUUCCCCGCCUGG